rnacentral:rRNA from 1 species
CAUGCCGUAAACGAUGAGUGCUAAGUGUUAGGGGGUUUCCGCCCCUUAGUGCUGCAGCUAACGCAUUAAGCACUCCGCCUGGGGAGUACGACCGCAAGGUUGAAACUCAAAGGAAUUGACGGGGGCCCGCACAAGCGGUGGAGCAUGUGGUUUAAUUCGAAGCAACGCGAAGAACCUUACCAAGGCUUGACAUAUAGAGGAAACGGCCAGAGAUGGUCGCCCCGCAAGGUCUCUAUACAGGUGG